rnacentral:rRNA from 1 species
AUUGAACGCUGGCGGCAGGCCUAACACAUGCAAGUCGAACGGUAACAGGGAUCAGCUUGCUGAUUCGCUGACGAGUGGCGGACGGGUGAGUAAUGUCUGGGAAACUGCCUGAUGGAGGGGGAUAACUACUGGAAACGGUAGCUAAUAUCGCAUAACGUCGCAAGACCAAAGAGGGGGACCUUCGGGCCUCUUGCCAUCGGAUGUGCCCAGAUGGGAUUAGCUAGUAGGUGGGGUAACGGCUCACCUAGGCGACGAUCCCUAGCUGGUCUGAGAGGAUGACCAGCCACACUGGAACUGAGACACGGUCCAGACUCCUACGGGAGGCAGCAGUGGGGAAUAUUGCACAAUGGGCGCAAGCCUGAUGCAGCCAUGCCGCGUGUAUGAAGAAGGCCUUCGGGUUGUAAAGUACUUUCAGCGGGGAGGAAGGGAGUAAAGUUAAUACCUUUGCUCAUUGACGUUACCCGCAGAAGAAGCACCGGCUAACUCCGUG